AGUGUGUAGAAAGCAAAAGGCUGUGGGCUGGCCACGCUCGCGAGCCCAGGGCAUGCGCGCUGGGGCGGCCGGGCCUGCGCACUGGGGGCGGAGGGGAGCGGGGAGGGGGCAUCCCGCGUGGGGUUGGCAGUGGCCGGACAGAGUUGGCGCGCGAGGGUGUGGAAGCCGCGAAAUAAUCCCGCCGGUCGAACCUGGGACGUGUGUGUCUCUGAUGAAUGAUAUAUUGAUCAACCUGUAUUCUUCAGACUCUGCCAUAUGAAGCCAAUGAAAGAUACAUGCUGGUGACCAAAUGAUGAUCAUGUGAAAAGAUAGCUUGGUAAACUUAAUAAACUUUAGAUUUUUCAUAAAUCCAACCAGU
rnacentral:lncRNA from 1 species